rnacentral:lncRNA from 1 species
UUAAUUUUCUAUAUCAUGAUCUUAUAAGUUUUUCCCUCAGUCCUCAUGUCAUCCUAUUAUCUUCAUUUACAGAUGAACAAAGAAGGUGUAGAAGGGUUAACAAGAUUUCACAUUUGGUUUGCAGCAGAGCCAGGAUUUGAACUGAGGCACCGGGUUCAACUUCUGAUGUUAGGCCAUCUGAUGUUAGAACCAGAGCUUUUCACCAUUACACCAUGUUGCAACUCAAACUUGGGGUGUCAAAAUGUAGUGUGCAUAGGAUGUUAAUUGUGUCUAGUCACAUAGGUUGUUAAAAAAUAUUUCUAAGCACAUAAAGUAUGAGUUAUAUAAAAUAACUAAAUCUGAUUACAUCUCAUCAAUGUGCUAGCCAUUAUAAUUUAAAUAAUUAUUAAAAUUGAUCAGUUAAUAAGUAUUCAUUAAGUGCCAGUCAUGUGCUGCGUAUUAGUGUAGGCCAAUGAAAUUCAAAUAGUAUUUGGAGGUAUCUUGUGACGGGUCUUGGAGAUACAUUGUUUGCAUAUUAUAUAUAUAUGUAUAUAUAUAUAUAUAUAUGUAUGUAUAUAUAUAUGUAUGUAUAUAUAUAUGUAUGUAUAUAUAUACACACACACAUUUAUUGAUAAUUUUUAUAUAUAUAAAAUUUGUGUGUGGGGGUGUAUUGUGUGUGGGGCACUUUACUACUGAACUACUUCAUUGGUCCUUUUAAUUUUUUAUUUUGAGACAAGGUCUCACUAAGUUGCUAAGGGUCUUGCUAAGUUGCUGAGAUUGACCUUCAACUUUGGCCUCUACCUCCUGAAUUGCUGGGAUUACAGGCUAUAGUAAUACUCUUACUGCAGUAUUUUCCUUUUCCCUGACUUCAUGACUUGUGAAAACAUUAUUGCUUUAAUGGCUAAUGGAAUAUGUAAUAGUAUAUUCUUUUUUCCUUUUUCUUUGAGAUAUAGUUGAUAGUAUCAUAAAAUUUAUGUUUAAAAAAAUACACAGUUCAAGCUGGGCACAGUGGCACACUCCUGUAAUGCCAGUGACUCAAGCUGGGUGUGGUGGUGUAUGCCUAUAAUCCUAGUGAUUCUGGAGGCUGAGGCAGGAGGAUCACAAGUUGGAGGUUAGCCUGGGGCAACUUAGAAUUUGCCUCAAAAUAAAAUUUAAAAAGGGCAGAGGAUGUACCUCAGUGGUAGAGCACUCCUGGAUUCAAUCCCUAGUAUGGCUAAAGUAAAACAAAACAAACAAAAAUAUCUCCCCCUAAAAUCACAAUUCAUUGGUUUUAGUAUCGUUGUUAGGUUGUGAAACUACCUAUGUAGUUCCAGAAUAUUUUUAUUAGCCCCAAAAGAAACCCUGUACCAUUAAUAGUUAUUGUUUAUUAUUUCCUUCCCCAAGCCUUUGGCAACCAGUAAGCUACUUUCUGUCUCUAAAGAUAUGCCUUUUCUAGACAUUUCAUAUAAAUUAAAUAAUACAGUAUGUGGCUUUUAUACCCAUCUUCUUUGAUUAAGCUUAAUAUUUCCAAGUCUUGGCCAUACUGUAUCAUGUAUUAACACUUUAUUCCUUUUUAUGGGUGAAAGUAUUAUAUUCUGUGGACACACUUUGUUGAUUUAUCCAUUCGUCAUUUAAUGGAUAUUGGGAUUGUUUCUACUUGUCUGUUAUGAACAAUGCUGCUAUGAACAUUGUUUAAAAGUUUUUGUAUGGGCUGGGCAUGGUGGCAUACACCUGUAAUCCCAUCGGCUUGGGAGGCUGAGGCAGGAGGAUUGCAGCUUCAAAGCCAGCCUCAGCAAAAGCGAGGUGUGUGAGGCUUCCAGUUUCUCUAUAUUCUUACUAUCACUUGAUAGUGUACAUCUUUUAAAAUAAAUUGUAGCAAAUCUAGUGGGUGAAGUGGUAAUUUAUGGUGGUUUUUUUUUUUUGUUUUUUGUUUGGUACCAGGGUUUGAACCCAGGGGUGCUUAACCACUGACUGCAUUCCCAGCCCUUUUAAAAAUAUUUUAUUUAGAGACAGGGUCUUUUUUAAAUUUUUUUUUUUUUAGAGAGAGGGAGAGAGAGAGAGGGAAUUUUAAUAUUUAUUUUUUAGUUUUCGGUGGACACAACAUCUUUGUUUAUAUGUGGUGCUGAGGAUUGAACCCGGGCUGCACGCAUGCCAGGCAAGCGUGCUACCGCUUGAGCCACAUCCCCAGCCCGAGACAGGGUCUUGUUGAGUUGCUUAGGGCCUUGUUAAGUUGCUUUGAACUUUCAAUCCUUCUGUCCCAGCCUCUUGAGCUGCUGGGAUUAUAAGCUUGUGCUACCGCACCUGGUUUAUGGUGGUUUUGAUAUGUAUUUCCAUAAUAAUUAAUGAUGUUGAACAUCUCUUAAUUUGCCUCUUGCCUAAUGUAUAUUUUCUUUGGAAAGAUGUCUAUUCACAUCCUUUGCCCAUUUAAAAAAUUGGGUUGUCUUUAAUAUUGUGUUUUAAAGAAUUCUUUAUAUAUUUUGGAUAUUAGAUCUUUAUUAAAUGCUUGAUUUGC